AUUGAACGCUGGCGGCAUGCUUUACACAUGCAAGUCGAACGGUAACAGGGUGCUGGCACCGCUGACGAGUGGCGAACGGGUGAGUAAUGCGUCGGAACGUGCCGAGUAGUGGGGGAUAACGCAGCGAAAGUUGUGCUAAUACCGCAUACGUACUGAGGUAGAAAGUGGGGGACCUUCGGGCCUCACGCUAUUCGAGCGGCCGAAGUCUGGUUAGCUAGUAGGUGGGGUAAAGGCGCACCUAGGCGACGAUCAGUAGCGGGUCUGAGAGGAUGAUCCGCCACGCUGGGACUGAGACACGGCCCAGACUCCUACGGGAGGCAGCAGUGGGGAAUUUUGGACAAUGGGCGAAAGCCUGAUCCAGCCAUGCCGCGUGUCUGAAGAAGGCCUUCGGGUUGUAAAGGACUUUUGUCGGGGAGGAAAUCCCCAGCGUUAAUACCGCUGGGGGAUGACAGUACCUGAAGAAUAAGCACCGGCUAACUACGUGCCAGCAGCCGCGGUAAGAC
rnacentral:rRNA from 1 species